CAGUGCAUAUAAAAUAAUAAAGUGUUAUCAAUAGCCACAUAAAGUGUUGAUGGCUAUGCACAAUGUCAAAACAAGUUAUGACCAAAUACAUUUUGUCCACAAAAUGGAUGUCAUACGGUGUGACACUAAAAUGUGUAUUUUGAACGGGCAAUAAUUUGGACAUCUUAAUGAUGAAGAGGACCACGCCCAACCAGGAAGUUACAGUAACAUCUCUGGAGUGACUUGCAAAUUCAUGAGAGUGAGGCAGAUAUGUCCAGCAAGGAAAGGACACGCAAGUACAGGGAAAGACUGAAUGCAGACCCUGUGACGAGAGAGGAUAUCCUCAGGGAAAGAAGAAAAAAGUAUGAAGAGAAGAAACAAAAAGGAAAAAAUGACCCUCGCAGUGUCAAAUCACUUCCUCCUUCUAAGCAAGACACAUUGAGGGAGAAAUGGAGAAAUGCACAAAGGACACACAGAAAAAGAAAACAUGAGCUUGAUGCUGUAAUGAACUUGACCCCUCCAUCUCUUGAGGUUUCACUAAAUGAAGAUGACAUUGCACCACCAAUAAACAGCUCCACACCUCCAGAGCCUUCUGUCUCUUCACAUCCCUCCACCACUCCUCCUGCAAAGCCCCCUUUGAUGGAAAGUGCUCUAUAAAUUAAAAUUAUUAUUUCUAUUAUUACAAAACAAAUUUUAAAUGUCAUGAUUGAUGUGAUUAAUGUAUAAAUUUGACAUUCU